ACCCCAUCACAGGCACAGGCCGCACAGCGAACUCUGCGCAUCCACCUCUCUCCACCGCUCUCUCCUCUCUUUACCCCGCACUGGAACGCUCUCGACUUCUCGACACCGGCAGCAGCAGGAGGUGGAGCACGGGCAUGGUGAUCGGACUCGGACUCCCCUGAUCUCAGCCUCUUUUCACCAGCGCGAGGGCGGCGCGGGCUCAAGCCGGGAUGGGGUAUCUGCCGGCGCUGGGCGGGAAGGCGGCGCACCUGGUGUCCGACCUCGCCACCGUCAUCCUCAACCCCGUCUCCGAGCGCGAGCGCCAGCGACACCACCCCUCCCACCUCCCGGAGGCCAAUGAAGGAAAAGACACACUAUUCGAUGAUGAUGAUUCUGACCAAAAUUCUGAGACUCCUGAUGGUCCUGACACAUCUUCCUUCAGAGCAUUUCUGAUGUCCUUUGUGCCUUCCUCAACUGCCAGCAAGGAUUCAAUGGAGACCAUAACUGAGCAUAAUCUAGAUGUGGAAUACCCAACUUUAACACCUGUUGGGAAGGCAUGUAGUGGGAGGAAAAGUCUGCUUAGUAGAGGGAAACAUUCCAUUGGUAGGAUUAUUAGCAAAGCAGGACUUGGUAAUUUGAAACAGAAACAGACCCCCAGCAUUGAUGGUGAAAUCAUAAGUCAAACAGAAUCAGUUGCACCCAGAUUUGAAAUGAAGCGAUCAAAAGAAUCAACUUUGCAUGAUAAAUUGCCAGCUAUGUCUGAACCAUCUGUUCUUCUAACAGAAAUGAUGCGAGCUGUUCUUUAUACAUCUCUUCCUGUUCUUGCUCAAGGAAGGAACUGGAUGCUGGUAUACAGCACCUGGAGGCAUGGAAUUUCUUUGUCUACUCUGUAUCGAAGAAGCAGGCUUUGUGCUGGCUACUCACUUCUGAUAGUUGGGGAUCGAAGAGGAGCAGUUUUUGGUGGUUUGGUCGAGGCCCCACUGCAGCCUAUCAUAAAAAAGAAGUAUCAGGGAACUAAUGACUGCUUUGUGUUCACCAACGUAGAUGGCCGUCCUGUUAUAUGCCAUCCAACAGGUGCUAAUAACUAUUUUACGUUUUGUUCUACCGACUAUUUGGCAAUGGGAGGUGGUGGUCACUUCGCACUUUAUCUCGAUGGAGACCUGUAAUCUCUGUUCUUCCUUUCCAUCGUGACACAAAAUUCCUAGUUUCUAGGUUUUGUUAGCAUAUUGAUGGAAAAUUCCUAGAAAGUGUGACUGGUUCUAGUUCCACUUCCGAGACUUUUAACAACCCAUGCUUAUCCCAUACCCAGGAAUUCAAAAUCAAAGAUGUGGAGCUUUGGGGCUUCGUCAAUGCUUCCAAGUAUGAAGAGAUGCUCACGGUCUGCCGCACCGAAAAGCAAGGAAUUUGGAAUCUGUGACCCUUUUGGAGUUACACUAAGCUGUUGAUUGAUGGUGUGAGGUGUCAACCGAUCCUCCGGUGUGGCUUGUACAGUUUUGUAGUAAACGUUUGUAUAGCAUGUAGAGGAGAGUUUCCAUAGGGAAUGAGAAGUUGAAACAUGAAGAGUUUUGCUUUGUAAAUACUAAAUGCCAUUUAUAGAAAAUACUGUGUGGUACUACUAGUACACUAAUAGCUAACUGCAUAUAUUUCAUAGAAACUAAGAAUGUCCUGCCUAUAUUGCAGAUGGAGCUUUUUGAACUGGAA